UUGGGUGUCAAACUUCUUACGACUAAAAGGCACAUAUUAAUCAUUUCUGACGAAGAGACCAUCCAACCAUGUUCGAGGUACAGCGUUUAUCAUUACACGGUUUGUUUUACAUCGGAUUAUCAAAGUGACCCGGCGGCUGAGAUAAAGGCAUUGUGUGGAUCAUGGGCAUGUCUUCAGGAAAUCGUUCAGACCGUGGAAAGUAUGUAAAACACCUCUGUCGUUCCUCCGUAGUGUUUUCAGUGGGAUCAGCGUAUGACUCAGAACACGAAGAAAGUAGCGAGUGUUUAUACAGCUGGCGAUGCGGUCCAGUGCCGCCCUCCAUACCAAAAGUUAUGAUGGAUUCAAGAGCAAAAUCAACUGAUGAUGGACUAAAGCGCUCCGAGUAGGACUACUUCACAACUGCUCAUUGGCCGCUGAUUGGACAACUGAACGGAAAUGCAGCGCCGGUUGGACGUGAUCGACAAAUGACGUCUGGGCGAACAGAGAGAAGAGAGGCUUCCAGCGUCGUGACAACGGCUGCAAACGAUGCCUCCUUACCCAGGAGCAGACGGCGUCUCAGCCCCCACUCUGGGGCUGAGAGAGCAGGAUGAAGCGACGGAGCGAGCUGGCUCAGUAAUCCCCGGAGCGGAUCCAGAAGCACUCCGGGCCCUUGAGGCCUUGAGACGGAGACGGAGAGGAAAACACUGUGUUCCUGGUUCCAGUCUCACGGCUGAUUCAUCGGCAGGGUGUUUGGAGGUCUUGUCUGAAUGCAACGCGCUUCGGUUGACCC
ensembl:lncRNA